AGGCUCCGAAUGAAGACGUGCAGU
rnacentral:siRNA from 1 species